rnacentral:rRNA from 1 species
UGGGGGAUAUUGCACAAUGGGCGAAAGCCUGAUGCAGCGACGCCGCGUGGGGGAUGAAGGCCUUCGGGUUGUAAACUUCUUUUGCUCUGAACAAGGCAUGCUAAUGGGUGUGUUGAGUGUAGGGGUUGAUUAGCGCCGGCUAACUACGUGCCAUCAGCCGCGGUAAUACGUAGGGCGCGAGCGUUGUCCGGAAUUAUUGGGCGUAAAGGGCUUGUAGGUGGCUGGUUGCGUCUGUCGUGAAAGCUCAUGGCUUAACUGUGGGUUUGCGGUGGGUACGGGCUGGCUUGAGUGCAGUAGGGGAGGCUGGAAUUCCUGGUGUAGCGGUGAAAUGCGCAGAUAUCAGGAGGAAUACCGGUGGCGAAGGCGGGUCUCUGGGCUGUUACUGACACUGAGGAGCGAAAGCGUGGGGAGCGAACAGG